AAACACGACCGCUCUUACCCCGAAGUAGCUCUAAAGAAUCAGGGUUCUUUUUUUGGGGCAUAAUACUACUUCCCGUAGAAUACGCAUCGGAGAGUGUGACGAAUCCAAAUUCCGAGCUCGAAUAUAUGAUAAGAUCUUCAGCAAAGCGAGAAAUGUGAAGCAUUACCAUGCCUGCCCAAAACAUAAAUUCGAUGACAAAAUCACGAUCACCAACAGCAUUCAUGGAAUUCAUGAUAAUGCCUUCGAAUCCAAGCUCUUUACGAAGGAACUCGCGAUCGACGUUGAAAGGGUUGCCAGCUAAAGCACCAGCACCCAGCGGUAAUUGACUUACACGAGUAUACAGCUGACGAAGUCUGCCAAGGUCACCUAAUAAAGGCAAGGCGUGAGACAUGAGAAAAUGGGACCAACGAACAGGCUGAGCCCUUUGUAAAUGCGUAUAACCUGACAUUAUUACAUCAAUCUCCAUCUCAGCUCUGUUGGUAAAAACUUUAAGCAAGUUAAUGACAUAGACUUCAACCUCUUUGAUUUUUCUGCAUAGCCAUAAACGCAAAUCGGUGGUAACUUGGUCAUUACGACUUCUGCCAGUAUGUAGCUUGCCAGCAACAUCACCGAUUAUCUCAGUUAAUCGGCGCUCGUUUGCUGUGUGAACAUCUUCGUCGGAUGGUUCCAAAACGAAUUGACCCGAAUUCCAUUCUCUUUGAAUUUGUUCCAAUCCUUUUAGGAUGCUAUUCAGCUCUUCUUCAGAUAUCACAUUUUUCUGGCACAAGGCUUUUGCGUACGCCAUGGAACCAAUAACAUCUUCUUCGCACAUUUCCUUUCCACUAUAGAUGGAUUUGUUGAAUUCUGCCAUCAGUGGAUCAGUAGCUCCUGAAAAUCUACCUCCCCAUAG